rnacentral:misc_RNA from 1 species
GAUGAAGAACGUAGCGAAAUGCGAUACUUGGUGUGAAUUGCAGAAUCCCGUGAACCAUCGAGUCUUUGAACGCAAGUUGCGCCCGAAGCCACUAGGCCGAGGGCACGCCUGCCUGGGCGUCACACGUCGUUGCCCCCCCCCAUCUACUCCUUCGGGAUUGUGGGGGGCGGAUGAUGGCCUCCCGUGCGCCUAGCCGCGCGGUUGGCAUAAAUACCAAGUCCUCGGCGACGCACGCCACGACAAUCGGUGGUUGCGAAACCUCGGUUGCCCGUCGUGUGCGUUCGUCGCGCAUCGAGGGCUCGAAAAAAUGCUCGGCUCCGGCUCGGCUUUCAACGCGACCCCAGGUCAGGCGGGGUUACCCGCUGAAUUUAAGCAUAUCAAUAAGCGGAGGA